CCUACGGGAGGCUGCAGUGGGGAAUAUUGGACAAUGGGGGAAACCCUGAUCCAGCGACGCCGCGUGAGUGAAGAAGUACUUCGGUAUGUAAAGCUCUAUCAGCAGGAAAGAAAAUGACGGUACCUGACUAAGAAGCCUCGGCUAACUACGUACCAGCAGCCGCGGUAAUACGUAGGGGGCAAGCGUUAUCCGGAUUUACUGGGUGUAAAGGGAGCCUAGACGGGGGAGAAAGUCUGGGGUGAAAUGCCGGGGCCCAACCCCGGAACUGCUCUGGAAACUGUGAAGCUGGAGUGCAGGAGAGGUAAGCGGAAUUCCUGGUGUAGCGGUGAAAUGCGUAGAUAUCAGGAGGAACACCGGCGGCGAAGGCGGCUUACUGGACUGUAACUGACGUUGAGGCUCGAAGGCGUGGGGAGCAAACAGGAUUAGAUACCCCGGUAGUC
rnacentral:rRNA from 1 species